UGUGUGUGUGUGUGUUGAAAGCUUCGAAGGCACCUUAGCCGAUCAGUAUUUAGAACCGAAAUUACAAGCAGUCAACGUCCACUUUAUUAGGAACACCUAUAGGCCUAGACCUGCUCAUUCAUACAUAUACAAUACAAUCAGCCAAUCAUGUGGCAGCAAUUUAAUGCAGGAAAUCACGCAGAUACAGGUCAAACAUCAGAAUGGAGAGAAAUGUGAAAUCUCUGACUGUGGCAGUCGGAUUGGUUAAAGUAUUUCAGAAACUACUGAUCUCGUGGGAUUUUCACACACACACACACACACACUUCUAGAGUUAAUGGUCCUGUGGGCGGAAAUGCCUUGUUAAUGAAAGAGGUCAAAGGAGAAUUGGCGGAAAAGACCAGGUGACAUUUUUCCAACCUGCUUUCUUCCAGCUGCCCAGUUCUGGUGAGUCUGUACCCACUGUAGCCUUAGAUUCCUGUUCUUGACUGACAGGAGUUGAACCCCAUGUGGUCUUCUGCUGUUGUGGCCCAUCCACCUCAAGAUUCGGUGUGUGUUGUGCAUUCUGAGAUGCUUUUUUCCUCACCACAGCUGUAAAAAGUGAUUAUUUAAGUUACAGUAGCUUUCCUGUCACCUCAAAACAGGCCAUUUUCCUCUGCCCUCUCAUCAUUAGCAAGGUGUCUCCACCUGCAGAACUAGACUCAAACUAAUCCGUCUGGCAUCAACACCUUCUGCCACGCCUUUAUGAGGACAGCAGAGAUGUUGGAGGUUGGAGAACACUGGAGAACCCGGACGAAACCCACACAGACACAUGGAGAACAUUUAUUACACAAUUAUUGGACUGUACGAUAUGGGACUGUGCAAUAAUUAUGGAGUUGUGCAUAAACUGUGGAGUUGUGUAACAAUAACGAGGCUGUCCAAUCACCUCAGGUGAAACACUGUCGUUUUAACUCAGAUGAUGACACUACAUGUGAUGUAUGUAUGUAAAUUUGUGAUUGAAUAUAUUGUGUGCAAUUGUGUAUGUUGUCGCUCAAAGCGUUGAGCCCAAGAAAAGUUUUUCCAGAGUGUAUAUCUUCUCUUAUAUUAUGUACAAAAACUCCACUCAGCCCACAUGGACCACUCCAUUACCCCACCAUGAUGUAUCGCCUGAAGAAAUAAGACCAGGAAAUAUCCACAACACAGCCCAUUCUGUUACUGUGUUCUACCUGGGAUCAACCUUAACAAUCCAAUCCUGGUGAUUAAAGGCACAGUCAAAGAUUUCCAAGUCAAAACACUUUUUAA